GCAGAGGUAGAGGAAGAGGAAGAGGAGGAGGAGGACAAGGUCAAGAUCAUGGUCGAAGAGGCCAUGCACGGACCCCUAUUUCUGAUAAUAUAAGAGCAACUUUGGUGGACCAUGUCAUCAACCAUGGCCUGACUAUGAGGGAAGCUGGGCAGAGAGUCCACCCACAUCUAAGCCGCUUCACAGUGGCAUCUGUAAUAAGAACAUUCCGACUAGAAAACAGAAUGACUAGAAGACCUUCUGGGGGAGGACGCCAACGCCUGUUCACACAACAGCAGGAACAGCAGACAAUGCCAUCCGUCUCCACCAGCUACGACAGAAAAUACUUGCAGACAGGCAAGUGUUCAACAACAUAAACCAUGUGAGCAUCACCACCAUCCAACGCAUCUUGGGAAAACACAACAUCACCACGAAGCAGCUCUACAGGGUCCCAUUCGAGAGGAACAGUGUCAGGGUCAAAGGACUUCGAGCUGAAUAUGUACGGAGAAUCUUGGUCAUGGAUGGAGCUGCACAGCCUCAUGAAUUCAUUUUCAUUGAUGAAGCUGGAUUUGACCUGAGCAAAACAAGACGACCGGGUCGUAAUGUAAUUGGCCAAAGGGCAAUUGUGCACGUCCCGGGGCAGCGCGGGGGAAAUAUCACAUUGUGUGCUGCCAUAAACCUUCGCGGGCUUCUGCAUCAUCAUGCAAAACUAGGUCCAUACAAUAGCCAACAUAUACUCACAUUUCUAGAUGCUCUCCAUAAUAUAGUUGUACAGAACAGACCAGAUCAGCCCAGGUUUGUGGUGGUAUGGGAUAAUGUCAGUUUCCAUCGGGCUGCUCUGGUCCAGGCCUGGUUCACCAACCACAAUCAAUUUGAAGUGGUAUACUUGCCCCCCUUACUCACCAUUUUUAAACCCUAUAGAGGAAUUAUUUUUGGCUUGGAGAUGGCGUGUAUAUGACCGCCAACCACAUGCCCGCAUGCCUCUUCUGCAGGCAAUGGAACAGGCCUGCAGCGACAUUCAGGUGACAGCAACCCAUGGAUGGUUUCGACAUGCAAGGGGAUAUUUUCCCCGGUGCCUAGCGGGAGAAGACAUUGCUUGCGAUGUCGAUGAGGUCCUGUAGCCAGACCCCAACAGACAGCGGGAUCCAUGAGCCCACGUAUGCACAAUUGCCAUUCUGUGCUUACAGUAUAGUGUUUUUUGUAUUACAGUUUUUUUGGAUUGCUUACACACUAAAAUUAAAAGUAGUACACUAUUAGCAAAACCUUACACUCAAGAAGCAAAACAUCAGCCCAUAUUUGCACAACUAUAAGCACAUUGUCAACCUCACACUUGUUGCAAAACUCUACACACAGUGAUUUGCAAAACACUAAACACACUUAACAUACAUUACACACACAAAAAUCUAUCAUGAAGUCACUUCCUUGCAAUACCAAAGCACUGACUGUCAAAUUACCGCACCGUCCAACCAA